ACAUGUUGAUUUUAUUGGCAUUGAAAGUAUUAUUUGUUCAAAAGUUCCUCUAACAACUUUUGUGAAAGAUCUGCAGGUUGAUAAUGAGUUAGUAUUGUUCUUUGAGAUUAUAUGUUUACUUCUUUCACAAUAUUCGAGCAAGAUUCGAGGACGAAUCUUUUCAAAGAAAGGGGGAAUGAUGAGAACCCAUGUAGCAUAAGGAAUCCUACUUCAACAAAGAAUCCUAAUUCCACUAAAGAUCCUAAUC
rnacentral:lncRNA from 1 species